UAGAUCCUGUUUUCAUCUCUCUCAAAAUGAUAUCUCCCUUAUCCGGCCCCUAAUUACCAGCAGCGGUUCACAAACUCCAAUCCCGUCGAUAACUUCGACCCUAAGGUCUGGGACUGGGACACGGUUAGACUCCUUGCCAAGCCCCUUGACUAUGCGGCCUCCCCCGCCGUCAACGCUGCGGACAUCGCCAAGACGGAAGAAUUCCCUGCAACUCCAACCCCUGAGAUAACCGAUGCCACUCUCCGCAGAAAUCUGGGGGGCGGCUUCACUUGUGGGGAUGGCCCCAGAUCCAGACCCAAUAAGAGGGUUCGCUCUGGUUUCAUCCCCUUUCCGAGUUUGACGAGGGCAAGCAGAGUUGUAGAAGGAGGCUUGCUGGGCAUAAUCGGCGUAGGAGGAAAACUCAACCAGACGAUGUCGGCUCAAGACUUGUGCUCCCUGGAGAUGGAGACAAUAAAAUUAAUGGACACUUGGAUAUCUUUAACUUGUUGGCUGCUGUGGCUCGCGCUCAAGGAUGGAGGUAAGAGCACCAUCACAGCCAGUGGUUGUGUCUAUACCAAUAUUGCAUUAUGAUGAUACUGAAUCUGCAAAAGCAUCAAGACGGCAACUCAAGGAAGCUAUAUAUACAACACUAUUUAACAUGAAUGUUCCUGCUGUUUGUGCAAUUAAUCAGGUAAAUUUCGCUAAGCCUUAACUUGCCGCU